rnacentral:rRNA from 1 species
UACCAGCUCUCCGAGUGGUGUGGAUGUUUAUUGGGCCUAAAGCAUCCGUAGCUGGCUGGGCAAGUCCCCUGUUAAAUCCACCGAUUUAAUCGUUGGUGUGCGGGGGAUACUGUUCGGCUAGGGGACGGGAGAGGCCGACGGUAUUUUCGGGGGUAGGGGUGAAAUCCUAUAAUCCCGGGAAGACCACCAGUGGCGAAGGCUGUCGGCUAGAACGCGCCCGACGGUGAGGGAUGAAAGCUGGGGGAGCGAACCGGAUUAGAUACCCGGGGUAGUCCCAGCUGUAAACGAUGCAGGCUAGGUGUUUGGGCGGCCACGUGCCGCUCUAGUGCCGCAGAGAGUCGUUAAGCCUGCCGCCUGUGAAGUACGGCCGCAAGGCUGAAACUCAAAGGAUUGGCGGGGGAGCACCACAAGGGGUGAAGCUUGCGGUUU